rnacentral:rRNA from 1 species
UGUCGUCAGCUCGUGUUGUGAAAUGUUGGGUUAAGUCCCGCAACGAGCGCAACCCUUAUCCUUUGUUGCCAGCGGUCCGGCCGGGAACUCAAAGGAGACUGCCAGUGAUAAACUGGAGGAAGGUGGGGAUGACGUCAAGUCAUCAUGGCCCUUACGACCAGGGCUACACACGUGCUACAAUGGCGCAUACAAAGAGAAGCGACCUCGCGAGAGCAAGCGGACCUCAUAAAGUGCGUCGUAGUCCGGAUUGGAGUCUGCAACUCGACUCCAUGAAGUCGGAAUCGCUAGUAAUCGUGGAUCAGAAUGCCACGGUGAAUACGUUCCCGGGCCUUGUACACACCGCCCGUCACACCAUGGGAGUGAGUUGCAAAAGAAGUAGGUAGCUUAACCUUCGGGAGGGCGCUUACCACUUUGUGAUUCAUGACUGGGGUGAAGUCGUAACAAGGUAACCGUAGGGGAACCUGCGGUUGGAUCACCUCCUUACC